UGGGAUGUAGCUGCGGUAAGGCACCAGGACUUUGACUCUGGCAUGCGCAGAUGUCUGAAUCCCGCCAUCCCAGCCA
rnacentral:tRNA from 1 species